rnacentral:rRNA from 1 species
CAGUAGCCGCGGUAAUACGUAGGGUGCAAGCGUUAAUCGGAAUUACUGGGCGCAAAGCGUGCGCAGGCGGCUAUGCAAGACAGAUGUGAAAUCCCCGGGCUCAACCUGGGAACUGCAUUUGUGACUGCAUGGCUAGAGUACGGUAGAGGGGGAUGGAAUUCCGCGUGUAGCAGUGAAAUGCGUAGAUAUGCGGAGGAACGCCGAUGGCGAAGGCAAUCCCCUGGACCUGUACUGACGCUCAUGCACGAAAGCGUGGGGAGCAAACAGGAUUAGAGACCCCUGUAGUCCCUGUCUCUUAUAC